UACGUAGGGGGCUAGCGUUGUCCGGAAUCAUUGGGCGUAAAGAGCGUGUAGGCGGCCUGACAGGUCUGCUGUGAAAACUCGAGGCUCAACCUCGAGAUGUCGGCGGAAACCGUCUGGCUAGAGUCCGGAAGAGGAGAGUGGAAUUCCUGGUGUAGCGGUGAAAUGCGCAGAUAUCAGGAAGAACACCUAUGGCGAAGGCAGCUCUCUGGGACGGUACUGACGCUGAGACGCGAAAGCGUGGGGAGCGAACAGG
rnacentral:rRNA from 1 species